UACGGCCAAAUAACGUUGAAAAACCGGUUCCCGUACGAUCACCGCAGUUAAGGAACAUCGGGUCAGAUCUGGUCAGUACCUAGAUGUGUGACUGUUUGGGAAUACCAGAUGCUA